rnacentral:tRNA from 1 species
GCACCCGUAGCUCAGUGGAUAGAGCGAUGGCCUCCGGAGCCGUGUGCGUGGGUUCAAUUCCCGUCGGGUGCG